rnacentral:rRNA from 1 species
GACGAACGCUGGCGGCGUGCUUAACACAUGCAAGUCGAACGGAAAGGCCCUGCUUUUGUGGGGUGCUCGAGUGGCGAACGGGUGAGUAACACGUGAGUAACCUGCCCUUGACUUUGGGAUAACUUCAGGAAACUGGGGCUAAUACCGGAUAGGAGCUCCUGCUGCAUGGUGGGGGUUGGAAAGUUUCGGCGGUUGGGGAUGGACUCGCGGCUUAUCAGCUUGUUGGUGGGGUAGUGGCUUACCAAGGCUUUGACGGGUAGCCGGCCUGAGAGGGUGACCGGCCACAUUGGGACUGCGACACGGCCCAGACUCCUACGGGAGGCAGCAGUGGGGAAUAUUGCACAAUGGGCGGAAGCCUGAUGCAGCAACGCCGCGUGCGGGAUGACGGCCUUCGGGUUGUAAACCGCUUUCGCCUGUGACGAAGCGUGAGUGACGGUAAUGGGUAAAGAAGCACCGGCUAACUACGUG